UACAGAGGGUGCAAGCGUUAAUCGGAUUUACUGGGCGUAAAGGGCUCGUAGGUGGCCAACUAAGUCAGACGUGAAAUCCCUCAGCUUAACUGGGGAACUGCGUCUGAUACUGGAUGGCUUGAGUUUGGGAGAGGGAUGCGGAAUUCCAGGUGUAGCGGUGAAAUGCGUAGAUAUCUGGAGGAACACCGGUGGCGAAGGCGGCAUCCUGGACCAACACUGACACUGAGGAGCGAAAGCCAGGGGAGCAAACGGG
rnacentral:rRNA from 1 species